CUUGAAAAAGCAAGCCAACAACAAAAGAAACUUGAAUUUGAAAAGCAACUUGAGUUUGAAGAUGAAAUUGAAAACGAGCAACCUGAAGAACCUAAGAUCGAAGAAUCUAAAGAUUUGAGUAUUGAAUAUACACCUGUUGAAGAGCCUAUUCUAGAGUAAGAAAUUGAUGAAAAUGCAAAAGCAAAACUUGGUGAGGAUAAAUUGCAGAACAAAGAAGAUCACUUUAUGGAAACUUCAGUGGAGAUUGAAGAAAAUCAAGUUA
rnacentral:misc_RNA from 1 species